rnacentral:rRNA from 1 species
GUUCUUACUAAAAUGCUAAGCAAAGUUGCUGAUCAUAGUCUGAUUGCAGGGCUCUGUCCUGAGGUCUGCCCUGGUGGCAUCAUCUGCCUUCAAUAUGUAGAUGAUACCAUCCUUUUCUUAGACAAUGACUCCACACAUGCUAGCAACCUGAAAAUUCUUCUAACCUGGUUUGAACAAGUCUCAGGCAUGAGAAUCAACCACUCUAAAAGUGAACUCAUCCCUAUCAACAUGGAUGAUCAGGAGUUAGCUGACUUCCUCUCUAUUCUAGUCUGUAAUAAAGGUAACUUCCCCAUUAAGUACCUAGGUAUCCCU